UCUGGUUGAGAGUACGCCGUGCACAUUCUGGCUGCUGCUUCUCACUGGAGCUUUUUAUUUUAUUUUCCUUUUUGUUUUUCUUUUUUGUGUUUGUGUAGUUUGAUGAUUGUUUUUGUUUGAGUGUUUUGUCCACCAGUUGUGGUGUAGCUCUGGACCCAGUUUUGGGCAUCGAUUCCCUCCAGACCUGGUUCACCGUGGGCGAUGCCUGUGCUCCACCGUGGGCGAUGCCUGUGCUCCACCGUGGGCGAUGCCUGUGCUCCACCGUGGGCGAUGCCUGUGCUCCACCGUGGGCGAUGCCUGUGCUCCUGGCUGUGGACUACAAUGGAAUUUUCUGUUUCUGGGAUUUUCUUUUUCCUGCGCCGUGCCUCAGGAAAUUCAGCUGAGGUCCAUUCAGAAAGGAUGAAGACACACAGAACAGUUCGGAGGAGGAAACACUGCUUUCAUGGCCUGAGGGAAUGAAACAUGUAGAGCCAUUCUGAACAUUUCUGAAGGAAAACUGAUGAACACCUUUCCU